AACUAACUAAAACAAAAACAUUAUUCACAUGGUUUAGAAAAGGUUUUUUUUAUCACAAAUUAUGAAAUUAGGCAGAACCACGUGAAAAUAAGACAAUGCAUUUUGUGCAAGGAUGUUCAGUGCUCAAACUAAGCUGUAACAUCACCUAUGUUGAAAACUUUAAAGCCUCUAAUCAUAAUAAAUAUCUAGAGAUAACACCAAAAUAUAGCAGCACUCAGGGAAGUUGUUGAGUGGUUGUCAGCUGGUUAAAAUGAAUAAUAGCACCUUAUAGUGCACCUAGAUUUUUGUAUUAAAACACCUUUUUGACAUUCAAUUGCUGCAUGCAGCCUUCAGAUCAACUUACACCUACCAACUUGAAGAAGGUGGUACUUAAAAGAAAUGCAAGAUUAUUAAAACAAACUCAGGACCUCUCAAUAAAGAAACAUAGGCUCACCCAGCCAUUAUAGAUGAGAUUAAACUUUGAAGCUAAAACUAAAUUAGAAUGAACCAUUUGAAUUCCGUAUAUGCAGAAAAAAGCUUGUAAUCAAGUGGCAUUUCAUUACCCUUGAUACACACAAAAUCAAUUGACAGUGACACCAGGAAACACAAAAACGCAGAAAGUGAAUGAUGUGUCAAGAU
rnacentral:misc_RNA from 1 species